rnacentral:rRNA from 1 species
UAACAAGGAUUCCCCUAGUAACUGCGAGUGAAGCGGGAAGAGCUCAAAUUUAAAAUCUGGCGGUCUUCUGGCUGUCCGAGUUGUAAUCUGGAGAAGCGUUUUCUGUGUUAGACCGUGUACAAGUCUCCUGGAACGGAGCGUCAUAGAGGGUGAGAAUCCCGUCCAUGACACGGACAACUAAUACUUUGUGAUACGCUCUCGAAGAGUCGAGUUGUUUGGGAAUGCAGCUCAAAAUGGGUGGUAAAUUCCAUCUAAAGCUAAAUACAGGCGAGAGACCGAUAGCGAACAAGUACCGUGAGGGAAAGAUGAAAAGCACUUUGGAAAGAGAGUUAAACAGUACGUGAAAUUGUUGAAAGGGAAACGCUUGAAGUCAGUCGCGUUGUGCAGAACUCAGCCUUGCCUCGGCUUGGUGUACUUUCUGCACAACGGGUCAACAUCAAUUUUGGCCCAUGGAGAAAGGUGGGGGGAAUGUAGCGCUGUUUCGGCAGCGUGUUAUAGCCCCCUGCUGUAUACAUGGGCUGGGAUUGAGGAACGCAGCACGCCCUUGUGGCCGGGGGUUCGCCCCACGUACCGUGCUUAGGAUGUUGGCAGAAUGGCUUUAAGCGACCCGUCUUGAAACACGGACCAAGGAGUCUAACAUGCUUGCGAGUGUUCGGGUGGAAAACCCUUGUGCGUAAUGAAAGUGAAAGUUGGGAACCUCCGCAAGGGGGUGCACCGACGCCCGGCCCUGACGUUCUCUGACGGUGCUGCGGUAGAGCAAGUAUGCUGGGACCCGAAAGAUGGUGAACUAUGCCUGAAUUGGGCGAAGCCA